UAUAUUUUGGUGUACGAUGCACAUAAGUUUUUGAUACUUUUAGAAAUAGUUUAAUUCUAUUAAAUAUAA
rnacentral:tRNA from 1 species